AACGAACGCUGGCGGCAUGCCUAACACAUGCAAGUCGAACGAGACCUUCGGGUCUAGUGGCGCACGGGUGCGUAACGCGUGGGAACCUGCCCUUAGGUUCGGAAUAACUCCCCGAAAGGGGUGCUAAUACCGGAUAAUGUCUUCGGACCAAAGAUUUAUCGCCUUUGGAUGGGCCCGCGUUGGAUUAGCUAGUUGGUAGGGUAAAAGCCUACCAAGGCGACGAUCCAUAGCUGGUCUGAGAGGAUGAUCAGCCACACUGGGACUGAGACACGGCCCAGACUCCUACGGGAGGCAGGAGUGGGGAAUAUUGGACAAGGGGCGAAAGCCUGAUCCAGCAAGGCCGCGUGAGUGAUGAAGGCCUUAGGGUUGUAAAGCUCUUUUACCCGGGAUGAUAAUGACAGUACCGGGAGAAUAAGCGCCGGCUAACUCCGUG
rnacentral:rRNA from 1 species